rnacentral:rRNA from 1 species
UGAAACCCGUCGGCUUAACCGACGGCCUGCUUCUGAAACUGCAUAGCUUGAGUGCAGGAGAGGGAAGUGGAAUUCCGUCACAUGCGGUGAAAUGCGUAGAUAUUGGGAGGAACACCAGUGGCGAAAGCGGCUUCCUGGCCUGUAA